rnacentral:rRNA from 1 species
GACGAGCGCUGGCGGCGUGCUUAACACAUGCAAGUCGAACGGAAAGGCCCUGCUUUUGUGGGGUGCUCGAGUGGCGAACGGGUGAGUAACACGUGAGUAACCUGCCCUUGACUUUGGGAUAACUUCAGGAAACUGGGGCUAAUACCGGAUAGGAGCUCCUGCUGCAUGGUGGGGGUUGGAAAGUUUCGGCGGUUGGGGAUGGACUCGCGGCUUAUCAGCUUGUUGGUGGGGUAGUGGCUUACCAAGGCUUUGACGGGUAGCCGGCCUGAGAGGGUGACCGGCCACAUUGGGACUGAGAUACGGCCCAGACUCCUACGGGAGGCAGCGGUGGGGAAUAGUGCACAAUGGGCGGAAGCCUGAUGCGGCAACGCCGCGUGCGGGAUGACGGCCUGCGGGUUGUAAACCGCUUUCGCCUGUGACGAAGCGUGAGUGACGGUAAUGGGUAAAGAAGCACCGGCUAACUACGUG